GAUGAACGCUGGCGGCGUGCCUAAUACAUGCAAGUCGAGCGAAGGGGGGGGGGGUGCGGAACGCGUGGAUAACCUCCUAUACGUCUGGGAUAACUUCGGGAAACAGGAGCUAAACCGGAUACUUAGAGAUGGAUCCGCGCUGCAUUAGCUAGUUGGUAAGGUAACGGCUAACCAAGGCAACGAUGCAUAGACGACCUGAGAGGGUGAUCGGCCACACUGGAACUGAGACACGGCCCAGACUCCUACGGGAGGCAGCAGUAGGGAAUCUUCCGCAAUGGGCGAAAGCCUGACGGAGCAACGCCGCGUGAGUGAAGAAGGUCUUCGGAUCGUAAAACUCUGUUGUUAGAGAAGCGGUACCUAAUCAGAAAGCCACGGCUAACUACGUGCCAGCAGCCGCGGUAAUAC
rnacentral:rRNA from 1 species